CGUAUUUUACCAUACAGAUCUCCACGGCCCAGACUGAGGACCUCUGCUCCAGCCCACCAUCUAUCUUCCUUUCAGAGAUCAGACUGGGAUGACAGCAGCCUUAACAGCCACCUUCAGUAACUCCUUUAAAAGGGAAGUCCCACCUGCAGUCCUGGAGAAGCCAAGUUUGGAAGCUGGGAAAUAAGAAACUGAGAAGCAGAGAUCCCCGUGACCUCGGAGGCCCCAGGAGCCAAACCUGAGAUAUAUCCCUGUCCAUCACCUACUGAGCAAGUUAGAGAACAAAGAAUUUUUAAAGGAGAAAAAAUAUUAGAGUAAGACAUCAAUCAAGUUUGAUGGCUUUCUCGGGAAACUGAGGGAGAGGUCCAUGCUGGUCUGGGCUCACCAGGAAGGAAAUGAGAGAGACAGAAUUGGGACUCAGUUCUUCCUGACUCUAAGCUCGGCAAUAAUCUAUCUCCAUGAAGGGAUUGGACCAAAUGAUCCCAAAGGUCUUUCUGGUUCUGAUGUGAUGGAAGGUCUCCAAAUGUGCUCAUUAGCUUUUGAAGUGGAUGGGGAAGUCUUGUUAUUAGACAAUAGGUCUUAGUUAG
rnacentral:lncRNA from 1 species